rnacentral:rRNA from 1 species
GACGAACGCUUGCGGCGUGCCUAAGAAAUGCAAGUCGAACGGACAGUGGCUUCGGUUACUGUUAGUGGCGAACGGUCGCGUAACACGUAAGAAACCUGCCUUGAAGCGGGGGAUAACAGUCCGAAAGGAUUGCUAAUACCGCAUGUGGCCAACGAGAGGCAUCUCCCGUUGUCUAAAGAUUUAUCACUUCAAGAUGGUCUUGCGGCCUAUCAGCUAGUUGGUGAGGUAACGGCUUACCAAGGCGACGACGGGUAGCUGGUCUGAGAGGACGAUCAGCCGGAUUGGGACUGAGAUACGGCCCAGACUCCUACGGGGGGCAGCAAUUAGGAAUCUUGCACAAUGGGCGAAAGCCUGAUGCAGCGACGCCGCGUGAAGGAUGAAGGUU